rnacentral:lncRNA from 1 species
GGGCUCUUUAUAUACCGUAAUCUUCCAUCACUGCAUCUUGGUUCGAAGGAAUGCACGGAGAUGCCAACUACAAAUAUCAGACUGUUUACACACGACGCUCCAUUUAACUCUAUCAGACUCGAUGACUUUGAAAAGAUGAUGGGUGCGAAUGGCAUAUUAUUUCACGACACGUUGGACUUGUUCUUUCGACCCAAAUACCAUUCCUUUCC